rnacentral:lncRNA from 1 species
AAUGUCUGCUCUAAGAGAACAAAUUUUGGGACACUGUAUUUUAAAUUUCAGCGAUGUAUUUGCACUCUACUUCUUAUUUUGGGCAUUUAUUUAAAGUCAGAAAAAUGCUAUAACAGUCAUGAUUUUGUCCACAUGGAAGAUAAUAUUUUAUAAUUUACUGUAAGAAAUACUAUAGGGUGCUAUUCAGCAUAUUUUUGGAAUUUUUGGCUGUAGCAACAGAAUGAGCCAAUACUAUCCAAGAAUAGUUUACAGUAGAUGCUGGAAAGAACACAGAACUUGGAGCCCACUUAAAGGAUUUAAGGAAUUCUCUAAUAUGAUUCUUGCAGUGUAUUAGAGCCAGCAUUUCUUUCCCCUGUGAAAAUGAACCCAUGAUUUUAUAAUGUAUGUCAUUGGGAAAAUAUGAAUCAAUUCAUGGAAUUUGAAAUCAGAACAUAGGGAGAAAAAUAGUUCACAAUUUUUUGAUGAUACAAACAGGUAAUAUCCUGUAUAAAUUAGCCUGUGACAUAAAUGGUAAUAUAAUCUGCUUUGUCACACUUUCUUUACAUUGUCCUACAUAUCUGACUUGGAUUUCACCCAUAGGCAUGGUGCCUAAUAUACCCACUUCUGUGGUUGUGGCAAAAAAGCAGCUUAAAGGAUGAUUUACCCACAUUAACUCUCCUCAGUUUAUGAUCUGUAAAAAGAAUUUUACAACAUUCACUCAGGCAAGCUUUUCAAUAGAAUAGAACAAGAAAGUGUGUUUAAGUUGGUUUUUAAAAUAAGUAUCGGGCUAGUUUCAAAAUAAAUUUUGAUUGAGGCUUGCAAGUCAAUUCAUUUUAUAUUCCUUCAUCCCCUCAGUAAGCCCUACUUAUGUACUAGGUACUGUGUUAAGAGGUAGAGAUACAGAAAUAAAGAGUCACUGCCCUGAAGAAGUUUCUUGUUGAGAUGGAGAGAGACAAGUUAACUAUGACCACAGUAGGAUUAUGCUAAAAUUUUUGCUUCAGGAGUUUCAGAAACAUCUGGAGUCCUAGCUUAGAGUUGGAAGGAGGCUAGGAGGUUGGAAGGACUUCCAGAAAGUACGGAAAGUUAAGGGGACUAGCAUUCCAGGAAUAGGAAAGGUAUGUGCAAAGGAAAGAAAGCCAGAAAGUACUGAAGUUUGAGAAAUCAAGGGUUGUCUUAUUCUUUAUCACAAAUACCAAAUGACUUGUUUUGUCCCAAGUCCUAAUAAAGUCAUGAAACAGGUAACAUGAAGGAUUUUUAGUUGUAUUAAAAUAUGAUUUCUAAAAAGCAUUACUUUCCGAGAUUAACUUUUAAGUAUUUUGGCCUUUGUACUAUAUCAUUGAGAUUAUAAACUUGGGGGAGGAAAGAGCUAAAAGAAACGCAGAGAAGCAGAAGGCAAGAGGGAUACAGUGUGAGAAAGCAUGCAGAGAAAGGAAGUGGUUUUACAGAGAUUUACAAGUGAUUUUUUUUCCUUUGCUCCUUCCUUUCCUCCUUUUCUCCUGUCCUGCCCCUUCCCUCCUUCCCUCCUUUCCUGCCCCUUCCCUCCUUCCCUCCUUUCUUCCUAUCUCCCUUCUAUCCCCCCUCCUUUCUCUCUUAUUCCUAAAGAGACCUCCAGAAACUUAUGUGCUGUAGAAACCUACUCCCACUGAUGCAAAAAAAAAGAGCAUGAGGAAUUUGAAGACUGAGAGAUGAGUUGUGUAGCACCAACAUUUUCUUUCUGCCUGACCUUCAUACCUGAUGAAUUAAAAGCAUAGGAUGUUUGGAAGAGUGAGAUAGGGGACACAUUGAAAACAGAGAGGCAAUCUGAAGGCUACCUUGACGCAUCUGCAAAGCUCCCAGAUUCUGACUUUCACAAGACUUGCUUUCUGUUUCUGGGCCUCGCCUAAACAGACUGCCAGUCAUCCGAACCGUGGCAGGAUGGAGAUGUUUGUGUAAGGUAGACUCAAGUUUGCAAGACUCAAGAAGGAAACCACCAAACUAAUUUUACUUUCACUUAAACCAGAUUGAAACCAAGACUUGAAGAAUUAAAAACUUUGACAUUAACCAUUGAUUCACUCCAAUGAAAUAAUUGUGUUAUAGCCAGAAUCAUGGUGAAAUUGGAACAAGGCUUUUGAUGGGAUUUUUAAUUGAGGGACUUAUAUUAAAUUGGAUAUUUUCUUUAAUGAACA